CGAGCUCGGCUCAGGAUGAACGCUGGCGGCAUGCCUAAUACAUGCAAGUCGAACGAGAUCUUCGGAUCUAGUGGCGCACGGGUGCGUAACGCGUGGGAAUCUGCCCUUGGGUUCGGAAUAACAUCGGGAAACUGAUGCUAAUACCGGAUGAUGUCGAUAAGACCAAAGAUUUAUCGCCCAGGGAUGAGCCCGCGUAGGAUUAGCUAGUUGGUGGGGUAAAGGCCUACCAAGGCGACGAUCCUUAGCUGGUCUGAGAGGAUGAUCAGCCACACUGGGACUGAGACACGGCCCAGACUCCUACGGGAGGCAGCAGUAGGGAAUAUUGGACAAUGGGGGCAACCCUGAUCCAGCAAUGCCGCGUGAGUGAUGAAGGCCUUAGGGUUGUAAAGCUCUUUUACCAGGGAUGAUAAUGACAGUACCGGGAGAAUAAGCCCCGGCUAACUCCGUGCCAGCAGCCGCGGUAAUACGGAGGGGGCUAGCGUUGUUCGGAAUUACUGGGCGUAAAGCGCACGUAGGCGGCGAUUUAAGUCAGAGGUGAAAGCCCGGGGCUCAACCCCGGAACUGC
rnacentral:rRNA from 1 species